CAAAUCACCGCUUCUAACAUGUUUUCUGAUUCCCUAUCCCAUCGCGUCAAAAAUGUAUUAACUUAUAUAAUUUCGAGGCAAUUGCAGUAAUGGAUUCUAUUGACACCUCGAAACGGAAGCCCAGACGCACCUUUGGCACUCCAUCCUACGCGUACCGCAACCGAUUUGCCUAUGCCCUGUUAGCCGCUGGCACAGUGCUCUUCGGAAUUUGGAACUUGACUCCUAUUCAACGCGUUGCCAACGAGAAACUUGCACAGGCUUUGGCUCAAACAGAACAGGAGCGGGACAGAAAAGCACUCUUUGAGUUUGCGGCUCCGCGGACUUCUCAGUUCAUUAAGGACGCGAUCAAGGAGAGCGAGGAGCAGAAUACCAAAUAAUGGAUCGCAAGACGCGGAAGACCAACUUCCAAAAGCUGCAGCAGGCUUCUGGCAAACUUCGAUCAACGCGCAGCACAAAUGCUACCUUAAGUUUGUCCAACUUCUUCGCAACACCCGAGGAUGCUGAUGAGGAGGGCAAUGCACCAGGGGAGAAGGCUCCUUCUCCGCUUCCCAUGGAGAUUGAUGUUCCCUCCCCCAAAAUCAAACCAAUUCGCGCCAGCAACGUUUUUGAGAAGCCCGGUCCUAAGCCCAAGAAGGCGCCCAAGCUCAAGGGGAGUGCCUCGGGAAGCACUCGCAAGGGAAGCAGUCGCGGGAAAAAGCAACCCAGCAUUAGCAACUUCCUUCGAAAUGAAAAGAUUUUUGCAGAGGUAACAGCUCAGCAUUGCAUGGCGGACAACUUUAGCCCGGACGACAUCGAGAUGGCGCUGGCGCUGUCCAAGUCUGAAGCUGAGAAGCAUGGAUGCCUACGG
rnacentral:misc_RNA from 1 species